GACGAACCGUGCAAACGUUAUUCGGAAUCACUGGGCUUAAAGGGUGCGUAGGCGGCGCGGUAAGUCGGGUGUGAAAUCUCGGAGCUUAACUCCGAAACUGCAUUCGAUACUGCCGUGCUUGAGGACUGGAGAGGAGACUGGAAUUUACGGUGUAGCGGUGAAAUGCGUAGAUAUCGUAAGGAAGACCAGUGGCGAAGGCGGGUCUCUGGACAGUUCCUGACGCUGAGGCACGAAGGUCAGGGGAGCAAACGGG
rnacentral:rRNA from 1 species